CCUACGGGCGGCAGCAGUGGGGAAUAGUGCACAAUGGGGGAAACCCUGAUGCAGCGACGCCGCGUGAGUGAAGAAGUAAUUCGUGAUGUAAAGCUCUAUCAGCAGGGAAGAAAAUGACGGUACCUGAGGAAGAAGCCCCGGCUAACGACGUGCCAGCAGCCGCGGUAAUACGGAGGGGGCAAGCGUUAUCCGGAUGUACUGGGUGUAAAGGGAGCGGAGACGGCAGGGCAAGUCUGGCGUGAAAGGCGGGGGCUCACCCCCCGGACUGCUCGGGAUACUGUACGGCGGGAGUGCAGGAGAGGUACGUGGCAUUCCUCUUGUAGCUGUGAACUGCUUCGAUAUUAGG
rnacentral:rRNA from 1 species